GGGUCGUUAGCUCAGUUGGUAUAGCAGUCGUCUUUUAUUCAAUUGGUCUAAGGUUCUAAUCCUGCACGACCCACCA
rnacentral:tRNA from 1 species